rnacentral:rRNA from 1 species
GAGGAAUAUUGGUCAAUGGACGAGAGUCUGAACCAGCCAAGUAGCGUGAAGGAUGACUGCCCUAUGGGUUGUAAACUUCUUUUAUACGGGAAUAAAGUGAGGCACGUGUGCCUUUUUGUAUGUACCGUAUGAAUAAGGAUCGGCUAACUCCGUGCCAGCAGCCGCGGUAAUACGGAGGAUCCGAGCGUUAUCCGGAUUUAUUGGGUUUAAAGGGAGCGUAGGCGGACGCUUAAGUCAGUUGUGAAAGUUUGCGGCUCAACCGUAAAAUUGCAGUUGAUACUGGGUGUCUUGAGUACAGUAGAGGCAGGCGGAAUUCGUGGUGUAGCGGUGAAAUGCUUAGAUAUCACGAAGAACUCCGAUUGCGAAGGCAGCUUGCUGGACUGUAACUGACGCUGAUGCUCGAAAGUGUGGGUAUCAAACAGGAUUAGAUACCCUGGUAGUCCACACAGUAAACGAUGAAUACUCGCUGUUUGCGAUAUACAGUAAGCGGCCAAGCGAAAGCGUUAAGUAUUCCACCUGGGGAGUACGCCGGCAACGGUGAAACUCAAAGGAAUUGACGGGGGCCCGCACAAGCGGAGGAACAUGUGGUUUAAUUCGAUGAUACGCGAGGAACCUUACCCGGGCUUGAAUUGCAACUGAAUGAUGUGGAGACAUGUCAGCCGCAAGGCAGUUGUGAAGGUGCUGCAUGGUUGUCGUCAGCUCGUGCCGUGAGGUGUCGGCUUAAGUGCCAUAACGAGCGCAACCCUUAUCGAUAGUUACCAUCAGGUUAUGCUGGGGACUCUGUCGAGACUGCCGUCGUAAGAUGUGAGGAAGGUGGGGAUGACGUCAAAUCAGCACGGCCCUUACGUCCGGGGCUACACACGUGUUACAAUGGGGGGUGCAGAAGGCAGCUACACGGCGACGUGAUGCUAAUCCCGAAAGCCUCUCUCAGUUCGGAUUGGAGUCUGCAACCCGACUCCAUGAAGCUGGAUUCGCUAGUAAUCGCGCAUCAGCCACGGCGCGGUGAAUACGUUCCCG